AAUUCAGGGAGGAAACUAAAAUUUAGCUUCAGCUUAAAAGGAAUUUAUAGUACUAGGCAGCACCACAAAACAUGGGCAGCCCUCCACAACUCCUCAGAGACCUGCGUUGUUUCGCCCUUAUUACCACUGCACACAGGCCUGGGCCAAGUCAGUUGGCACACACAGUAGCCAUGUCCCCUGUUUGAGGCCACAGAGGGAGCUGCUCCCUGGUGGCAGAGGCAGAUGGCUGCCUUGUUUCUAGGCAGCACUGCCACAGACCAAGCUGUCACACUGGGUGUGUUCAAAUUUGGGGAUGCAAUCAAGUCAGGAAAUUUCUAGAAGGUUCUGAUACUUCAACUCCACCCCAGAAUUUUCUGAUUUAAUGGGUCUGUAACAGCCAGAUGUGCCAAGCCCAGAUGUGCUUACUGCCUCAUCCCCAGUGCACACAGCAUUGGGUGGGUGAACUGGCUUGCCCAGGGCAGUACAGCUGAGGAGCAAAGAGGCCGUACAGCUGCAAAAAUCAGCCUGGGAGGGAGUUGAUGUCCCCUGGAAAGGAGGCUGGGGAUGGCCUUAGCUCUGCCCUUGACAUUGAGCAGUUCACCUCCUCCAUGCAUUUUACUUACUUUACCUGAAAAUUGGGCUUUGAGUUCUCUUGUGAUUCCUUUCACCAAUAAGAUCUAAAAUUAUAGCCGCUGACCUCUGGGGAUCUGGGAGGAAGAGACAAGAAGGGUGUGGUGGGUUUGUAAUUUGUCAGCCUCCAUGCUGAAUUCCCAAAACCCUCAGGGCAGACCCCAGGAAACACUUCUGUUCAUGAGAUUUGGAGGGCAGAAAUGAAGUGGCAGCCCUGUGGCCCUUAGGCUCAGGAGGUUGCAACAGGGUCACCUUGCCUGCUGGCCUGUUGGCUGGCCUGAAGCUGGUCAUCCUGUGCUUCAGCUUCCUGUGCUCUAGUCCCUGCCAGGUGGGUGUCUGGUGGGACCACUUGUCUCCAAAGUCGGAGGCAGGCAGAUCUGGCUUCUGGUCACCCAGCUCUCCCUGCUCCUCACUUGACACCCAUCUUCCUCUCCCUGAUGCCUACCUGGAGACUGCACAUUCAGCCAUCAUAGUGUCCUGCUGCCCUCCCUCUUGUAUUGUGUGGUUGUCCGAUGAAGUACAGUACAACCGCAUACAUUCAAAAGCCCCAGUGGACAGUAGUGUGAGCUUUGUAUUCCACGGACAUCUAAGUGUUAAAGAAUGUCAAAGGAGAAAAAUGCCUUCACCGGCUAGGAACACAUCUGUGCACAUUCCCUUGUUCGUGGUGUUCCAAGUUGCCUCUGACAUCAUUUUGCUUCAGCCAGAGAACUGAGGACUUGUGCUGGCAAUGGAUUCUCCCAUUUUGCCAUAAGAAUGCUCACGUCACCUCUCCAAGGGUUGUUUUGCUGCAUGUAGAAUUCUGGGUUAACAAUAUGAUUUUCUUUCAGCACUUGAAAGAUGAUGUCCACUCUCUUCUGAGCUCCAUGGUUCCUGAUGAAAAAUCCAGUCAUUGUAACAGUUAUUCCCUUAUGCUGUGGCCUGAAUGUCUGUGUCC
rnacentral:lncRNA from 1 species